rnacentral:rRNA from 1 species
GACGAACGCUGGCGGCGUGCCUAAUACAUGCAAGUCGAACGAAUUGGCGCACGGGUGAGUAAUAUAUAGUUAAUCUGCCCUACACAGAGGAACAACAGUUGGAAACGACUGCUAAUACAUCAUAGUGUAGGAUGAGACGAUAUCGUAUCAGCUAGUUGGUAAGGUAAUGGCUUACCAAGGCUAUGACGCGUAACUGGUCUGAGAGGAUGAGCAGUCAAAUUGGAACUGAGACACGGUACAAACUCCUACGGGAGGCAGCAGUAAGGAAUAUUGCGCAAUGGGGGAAACCCUGACGCAGCAACGCCGCGUGGAGGAUGACACUUAGCGGAGCGUAAACUCCUUUUAUCAGGAAAGCGGUACCUGAUGAAUAAGCACCGGCUAACUCCGUGCCAGCAGCCGCGGUAAUUC